CAAGCGGAAAAUGGAAGAAAAUUUUCUAGAAGGAAUGAGUGCAUGGUAUUGUUACAUGACAGAGUGAGAAGAUGGAAAAUUUUCCGCCUGCAGGCAAACGAGGUAUGAAAGCGCCCUUAGAGGGAACGGUUGACUCAUACACACUUUCCGCUUUGGUAACGUUGAACGCCCAAUCACAGGACAUAAAUGGUUGAAUGCCAGCUUCGUGAUUGAUGCUUGAAAUGCCUUUGUAAGAAAAUGUUUACUUUGAGAAACAAUAUCACAAUGCCGACAUGUGAUGGGUAGUGCAAAUGUAAAGGUUCUUUUAAAAUGUAAAGAAACACGUGUAAGAAGAGAAUAGAAAAAAUCGUGUUUUAACAGCUUCUUGAUUGAUCUGCACCUAUAAUCUGUUGCAAAUUAAUAACAAAAACGUCCAGAAUGGUAGUCAAUCUGAUGUUGAAAGAAAACAAGAUGAAACUCGCUUAAGAUUUCCGAAUAAACAACAAAUGAAUUUUUCAGUGCAAUCAGGGUCAUCCGGACUUUCAAAGGCAAUAAGGAAAGGUCAAGCGAAGAAAUGCCAGGUCAAAAAGAAAUUGCAAACAAAACUGAAGGCCUCGAGGAAACUUGAUUUUGAUUUAAAAAAGCGCAAAAAGUAAAAAAUAAAGACAUUUUAAAUAAUUACACGAAAUUGAUGGCCACUCGUGAAAUUAUGGAAGUUUCUGCUUCUACUAAAAAUUUAAGUAACAACGAUCUAGACUCGAUGACACCUACAUACUUGAAACUAGCAACAGUAAUUUUAUUGAUUCACCAACACACUCAAAUGCUAUUGAAAGUGGACCAAAGAUUACGAGUAUAGAAACUAUUCCCGAAAUUGCAAGCUCAUCAAAUACAAGAAUCUCAGAAUUAAUAAAUCUGACAGCACAAAGUGCACCAAGAUCGUCAAUUAGAAGACAUUCUGCACCAUUUGAUGCAAAGCCCGAAGAAGAUCAAGUCCUAGGUCGCCAGCAAAUUGAAAAAAGAGCCUCUCUCGCAUCUGUUAGUUCAAGAAGAGCAAACAUUGAAAAUUAUGCUUUUCUAUACGUUUCAAAACGCUCCGAAAGACCUAAGGAUUGGAUCAACCUUUAUGAAAAUACUUCGAUUCACCCUGACGUUUGGGACAUGAUGAAAACGUAUUCUAACUCAAGGUUUGCUCGGGAAAUAGCUCAAAAGUUAUGGGGGACGGAUGUUCUUUAAAGGAGAUGCUUAAAUGCUCAGAGAGCAAAUAAUGGAAAGGAAAUUGCCCCCAAGGAACACAGAUUGUCUUUAACUCCUAAGAAAUUUGAAGUAGUAAAAGACUGUUUGUACAGCAAACUUACUGAUGCUGGUGUAACUGGCAAGCAAAGAGAAAUGCGAAUGAGAAAAAUUCGUACUUAUCUAAGAGCUAAAAUAUAUGAUGUUCAUAGGAAAAAGUAACAGAUUAUUUGAAAUUAUGAUAAACUUUCUAUUUCAAUUUAGAUAUUAAGAUUUAAGGGUGUUGGUUAAAUCCGACUUUGAAUUUAUUUUUUUAUAGGUAUGGUACUGACUCAAUAUAUAUUUUUUCCGAUGGAUUUGCGAACGAAAGAAAGAAAACUUGUCGAAUAUCCGGGGUUUUGUUAGAUCCUCGGAUCAGCAAAAUGUUGAACAAUCAAAAAAUUUGUUGAGGAAAUGAUUAUUUUCAAGAAAAAUAUGAAUUUCGCGAAAGAUAUAAAUCAGCGGGUAACAGACGGCAACAUUUAAACGGUUAGAAUCGUUUGCAAAUUUAUUUUUCCACUCACAAUUCUGACAUAAUAGAAGAAUUCUCGAGAUAUACCAGGUUUUUAAAGAGCCACUCUUUGAAAACCUGAUAUAUCUCGAGAAAAUGUAUAAAAAAAUAAAUUCAAAGUCAGAUUUAACCAACAACCUUAAUUGUUUUGUUUAAUGAUGAGUUACCUGAUACUAUUAUUUUCGUGAAAAAUAUAAUUCAAUUCGUACUUAUUUAAGACCUAAAGUAUAUGAUGAUCGUAGAAAAAAAUAACAGAUUAUUAGAUAUUAUGAUUAAAUUCCUAUUGCAAUUUAGACAUUAAGAUUUAAUUGUUUUGUUAAAUUAUAAGUUACCUAACACUAUUAUUUUCGUGAAAAAUAUAAUUUAAUUCGUGCGUACGUAAGAGCCAAAGGAUAUGAUGUUCUUAGAAAGAAAUAACAGAUUAUCAGAUAUUAUAAUGAACUUUAUGUCGCAAACUAGCCAUUAAAAUAUAAUUGUUUUGUUAAAUGAUAAACUACUUAUCACUACUAUUUUCUUGAAAAA